GACGAACGCUGGCGGCGUGCCUAAUACAUGCAAGUUGAGCGCUGAAGGUUGGUACUUGUACCAACUGGAUGAGCAGCGAACGGGUGAGUAACGCGUGGGGAAUCUGCCUUUGAGCGGGGGACAACAUUUGGAAACGAAUGCUAAUACCGCAUAAAAACUUUAAACACAAGUUUUAAGUUUGAAAGAUGCAAUUGCAUCACUCAAAGAUGAUCCCGCGUUGUAUUAGCUAGUUGGUGAGGUAAAGGCUCACCAAGGCGAUGAUACAUAGCCGACCUGAGAGGGUGAUCGGCCACAAUGGGACUGAGAAACGGCCCAAACUCCUACGGGAAGCAGCAGUAGGGAAACUUCGGCCAUGGACGGAAGUCUGACCGAGCAACGCCGCGGGGGUGAAGAAGGUUUUCGGAUCGUAAAACUCUGUUGGUAGAGAAGAACGUUGGUGAGAGUGGAAAGCUCAUCAAGUGACGGUAACUACCCAGAAAGGGACGGCUAACUACGUG
rnacentral:rRNA from 1 species